rnacentral:lncRNA from 10 species
CCCCAGGCCAGAGAGUGGUAUCUGUCUUUCCACAAGUUUCAAUUUCCUCGGACUGUGAUUCCUGGGUUAAACUUAGUAGCAGCCUGGAGCAGAGGAAAAGGAUGGGAGAAUGUGUUGUUAAACCUCAGAAAAAUCCUGGACUUGGCAUCAUAAUUAAAAUUCCAUUUCCUAACACUCUCUAGCUAAGUGCCUUUAGGGAUCUGAAUGAUGCAGUGUCGCAAUCCCAUUUUAUAAAUGAGGCAACCAAAACUCGAAC